GCUGCUUUUGGUAAACAGUUACACAGGAUACUUCACAAGAUACGUGAAGAGAGUCUUUGAGGUAAAAUCAAAUCCCUAUUAGGAUAAAUGAUUGAGUGUUCCUGUAAAGAAUUGUUCCCCUGGUUCAAGCAACCAGAUUUCAUUCCCAGAUGAUCAAAAAUGGACUUGAUGAAAUGGAAAAGCACUGAUAGAAACAGAAUGCUGUCAUUAUUCCCAGUUCACAGAUGGGGAGGUAAAAACCCAGAGCUUAAUAGCAUGUCCAAGAUCACAUAACUAUUCCACUGCUCAAAAUUACUCCUGAAGGGAUGAGGACACCAGGAUAUGCCACCGGACCACUGAAGGAAUGGUGAUGGUAUGAAGAAAGUAUUUUUAAUGAGCAGAGCCAUUGUUUGCUCUGCUCUGUCCUCACCCCUCAAGAGAAUUUCCCUUAUUAUUAUGAAAACUUUUUAUCUUAAAAGAUAUUACAUGUUAAUGGAACUGUCGUUUAACAAAUGUUUUAUAAGUGUACCAAUCAAGCACAUUGUCGAAAUAAAAGAUAUGAAAUAAGUGAAAAAAA
rnacentral:lncRNA from 1 species